AAAAAUUUUACUUGUUUUAUGAGGAAGAUCUGCUGUUUUGAGCAUCAUUACUAUAUAUAUCCUGGGUCUCAUACCAUUCUAAUUUGAAUUUUUGUUUCGGCUGUUUUUUCUCUCAUACAUUAUUCUAUAAUCCAAAUUAUGUAAAAAAAACACGAUAAAUCGUGCUUUAUAUUCUACUCACGUGUUUAUCGAGAAAAUAAAAUUUAUACCCCAGUUAUCAACACUUUUUAGGACACUUUGAUAAUAUUCUGCAUGCUUGAGUUAUAUAAAUAUUAUCCAAUUUGGCUUAUUACCAACUGUAUAUUUUUGGAUAAAUUGCCCAUGACCGAAAUUCUUUUCCUCCAUAAAUUCAUCGAUUAGGUGACAUAAACCGCACCACGGCCGCCAAAAGAGAGAGGUAUUCCCUAAGUUGGUGAGUCGAUUAUUCAGCAAAAUCGUUAGUCGGCUGCUCUGUCUAUGGUAUUUAUCGUAGUGCCAUAAAUUUCUUUUUUUAAAUUUUUUUAUAUCGUUAUUAUUACUUUAUCGAAAAUUGUUGCCGAGUACACAUUGUAAAGAUGGCAUGAUUUUGAGGGCUCAUAAAUACUCCAUACAUAUGUUUAUACAUAUACUAAUGUAUUAAAUUAUAACAAUAUGUUAUUAUCGAUAAUGGACAAAUAGCAGUAAAUGAAAAACAACAAAUGUUUAAACCGAUAUUCUUUUAGAUGCUUUGAAGAUUUUUUGUUUUAGCUUUUGAGUGGUUACAUAAUUGUUUUUAUUUAUGUUCCACAAGUUCAUUUUUUCGUUGAGACUCAAAUAAUACUCCGUAUGAGUAAUAUUCUCCACAAAAGAGUUCCAGACACAGUUCUUUACAUUUAAAAGUGUUUCGCAAGUUAAUUUUUUGAUCGUUCUCCACAAAAGUAUUCCAGAAGUACAAUUUUUAUUCUUCUGAAACACAGUACUUUACAUUUAAAAGUGUUCCACAAGUUCAUUUUUUCGUUGAGACACAAAUAAUACUCCGUAUGAGUAAUAUUCCCUACAAAAGUGUUUCACAAGUUCAAUUUGUAGUCUUCUGGAACACAGUUCUUUACAUUUAAAAGUGUUCCACAAGUUCAUUUUUUGAUUGAGACACAAAUAAUACUCCAUAUGAGUAAUAUUCUCUACAAAAGUGUUUCACAAGUUCAAUUUGUAGUCUUCUGGAACACAGUUCUUUACAUUUAAAAGUGUUCCACAAGUUCAUUUUUUGUUUGAGACACAAAUAAUACUCCAUAUGAGUAAUAUUCUCUACAAAAGUGUUACAGAAGUUCAAUUUUUUGUCUUUGGAACACAGUUCUUUUCAUUUAAAAGUGUUCCGCAAGUUCAUUUUUCUUGAGACAUAACUAAUACUCCUUAUGAGUAAUGUUCUCUACAAAAGUGUUUCACUAGUUCAAUUUUUAGUCUUCUAGACCACAGUUCUUUACAUUUAAAAGUGUUCCACAAGUUCAUUUUUUGUUUGAGACACAAAUAAUACUCCAUAUGAGUAAUAUUCUCUACAAAAGUGUUACAGAAGUUCAAUUUUUUGUCUUUGGAACACAGUUCUUUUCAUUUAAAAGUGUUCCGCAAGUUCAUUUUUCUUGAGACAUAACUAAUACUCCUUAUGAGUAAUGUUCUCUACAAAAGUGUUUCACUAGUUCAAUUUUUAGUCUUCUAGACCACAGUUCUUUACAUUUAAAAGUGUUCCACAAGUUCAUUUUUUCGUUGAGACACAAAUAAUACUCCGUAUGGGUAAUAUUCUCUACAAAAGAGUUACAGAAGUUGAAUUUUUAUUCUUCUGAAACACAGUUCUUUACAUUUAAAAGUGUUCCACAAAUUCAUUUUUUCGUUGGGACACAAAUAAUACUCCGUAUCAGUAAUAUUCUCUACAAAAGUGUUUCACAAGUUCAAUUUUUAAUCAUACCGCUUAAUAUUAAACACAUUACUUGUGUUGGUUGCGCUCACUAAUUAAUAAUUUAAAGAAUUUCGUUGUUAUUUUAAGACCUCAUGUGUCAUCUACUUGUGUAAACAACGGUAAAAUUCCUUUUACAUGACUGCAGCAUUUUCUAUUUGCAGUGAUAUCAAUGUGAAUAAGCCGGCACACGAGCACUGCACGAAAUCUCAUUGGAUCAAUAACAAUCAAUAAUGAAACCAGUGCAAAUAUUUAGCAAAAAAUACGCAACGCCUUUCGGCAGCACACGGAAAAAAUGUCCAAUCAAACGAUAAGAAAAUACGUGAAAAAUUAAGUAAACACAUUUAACGCAAAGUAAUAAAAGUUCUGUUCUCAUGCUACUGCUUUAAUGUCUAAUUCAUUGUAACAAAAAUGCAUAAUUUCAACUUACCAGUCCCUCUAAUCUGCCAUUACGAAAGCACAAAUAUCGCCCAACUUGUUUGGCAUAAAGCGUAAUAAAGAAUGGAUCGCCAUUAAAUGGAUCACCAACAUUAUCCAUGGUUAUGGGCUCUGCAAGAAUAAGAAAAUAAAAUUGUUAGGUUGUAUGCAGCAUGAAGCACUGAAAGUAUUCGAUGGAGAGGACCUUACAAACAACGCAUGAGAGUUUCUUUGAGUGGAUUUUAGACGCUUGAUUUCUUUCGACUACGAGGAGCUUAAAUAUGGGCCGAACGAGCCUCAGAAAAUAUUCAAAUAUUUCGACUCAAAAAAUUUUAGAUAUUGAAGUACGGAGAUAACAGCUUUACCUUACCAUGGAUAUGUCUUCAAAUCUGAUUAGUGGAUUUGUAAAAAACUUUUCAGGCGAUAAUGAAAACACUGGGAACACCGCUGUCUACCGAGAAGUAAUCGUAUUACCUGAAAUGUGAAUAUUUUAUCACUUCGUCGUACAUUCCUUUUCAAGAGCACUCUUCACUUCAAGCCCGCUGAAAGUGAGAAAAUAUGAAGAAAAUCAUAAGUAUUUAUUUAUGUCCUACUGCUGUUAAGUACGUAGUGUGUUCAAAAAAUAACGGGAAUUGUAAGAUUAAGAAUUUCAAUGAUUUGUCUGUAGCAGCCGCUAGGAUGAGACGGGUUUUUAUGAGAGCGAUUUUCGGUUGUUAAAAGCUCACACUCCGUUGCUUGUUCGUGUAUACUUGUCCAAAAACAAUGCUGUAACGCGUGCCCAGCCUCAAUACUCGCUAGACAUGGCUGCAUGUGUCUUCUUCCUAUUGCCUAGAAUAAAGGGAACCUUAAAGCGCCUUCGUUUUACGAACUCACCAGAAAUCGCUGAACGAAAAUUCCCGAUAUUUUUUGAACCAAACCGUAUACCAAAACACACUUGUUAGUUAAUACAGUUCUCGCCCUUUGACUCAUCGAGCACCUUCGAAAUCGUCGGUUUGGCAUUUAAUAUACACGAACAGCGAAACCAUAAAUUGUCAAUUUGUUCGGCAUAUUAAUAUCAACAUCACAAAUCAUGUAUGGAAGGGAAGAUGACUCCUUAGGACUAGGGAACAGCAAAUAAUGCAAUGAAUGAGAGGAAAUAAAGGCAACUUGUUACCAAGCGCAACGAUAUGCCGAAUGGAUGCGCUGUGGAACAAGGCCGCAAAGUUAACUAAGCAAGCAAACGCGGCUACAUAUAGACACUUGUAUGUUGCGGUGCCGAAAUAUAGGUCUUCUGGCCAAAAAUGAACGCAGCAUAUUGUAAAAUGCCAUAUAUCGAAGGGAAACAUUCGUUGGAUGUCGUCGUCGCACCGCAUUGGCGCGUGAUUAGCAUUGGCACAGCGGGCAGGCCGACAAGUCCCGGUCGGUUAGAAGCGGCGCAGACUUAAAAUAACCCAAUCGCAUACGGCAAACGUAAGCGAUCAGGCGCUGCUUGUUUUAGUUGAAGCGCGAAGAAGUGAUUAUUACCAACUCAACGCGCCAAUUUUUUGCGCCAAAUAAAACAGUCUCACUUGCCUCUACCAUUCGUGGUGAGAAAGACAAGACGCGCAUGCGCAAAAGUGUACAUAAUUGGCUGUUGAUGCGCGCGCGAAGAUCACACUUGCACUUAAAUAUGCGCCUGCGCUGUGCAAAAGUAUGCGAUUAUGCUAUGUGUCUGCUUAUUUGGAUGCAAGCAUUGUGGCAUAUUCUCACACAGCACACAGCCACAUGCCGCAUGCAACAAAUUCAUAUGUAUGUAUGUACAAAUGUGUGAAAGCGCUCGCUUUCGUGUGCAAUAAUUAUGCACGGCUCAUAAAUUGUGCGCUGAUUCUGCGCGCGCAUGCAACCAAGUGCGCUCAAUGCGCAUGCGGCGCGUACGUGAAACACCAAAUAAAUCCACUAAAAUGGACAUUGAUUUAAAUAACAGCGAUUAAAGUUAAUCGCCUUUGACGGCAUAUUUUGCGCAUACGCAUCGCACACUCACAGACACAUACCCGCUUGGAAGUGAGAAAAUUGUCGGCUUUUAACAAGUUCAGCGCUGGAGCGUUCAAUGCCAAGACGGUGAUUUAUUGGGGGUGGAAAUCGCUAAAAAGCAACUGAAAAAAUCAGCAGGGGAAAACUAGAAUAAUAACUGAUUUAUUCUUAUAAGUAAAAUAUAGAAUUUUUGAUUAAUGUUGUUAAAAAGUAUGUAUUAUAAGUUAAAAUGUACACAAUAAUUAAGCGCAAUAUUUGUAAAAAUUUAAAUAAAAUAA